AGAGUUUGAUCAUGGCUCAGGAUGAACGCUAGCGGCAGGCUUAACACAUGCAAGUCGAGGGGCAGCAUAAUGGAUAGCAAUAUCUAUGGUGGCGACCGGCGCACGGGUGCGUAACGCGUAUGCAACCUACCUUUAACAGGGGGAUAACACUGAGAAAUUGGUACUAAUACCCCAUAAUAUCAUAGAAGGCAUCUUUUAUGGUUGAAAAUUCCGAUGGUUAGAGAUGGGCAUGCGUUGUAUUAGCUAGCUGGUGGGGUAACGGCUCACCAAGGCGACGAUACAUAGGGGGACUGAGAGGUUAACCCCCCACACUGGUACUGAGACACGGACCAGACUCCUACGGGAGGCAUCA
rnacentral:rRNA from 1 species